rnacentral:rRNA from 1 species
AGAUUGAACGCUGGCGGCAGGCCUAACACAUGCAAGUCGAGCGGUAGAGAGGUGCUUGCACCUCUUGAGAGCGGCGGACGGGUGAGUAAUGCCUAGGAAUCUGCCUAGUGGUGGGGGAUAACGUUCGGAAACGGACGCUAAUAUCGCAUACGUCCUACGGGAGAAAGCGGGGGACCUUCGGGCCUCGCGCCAUUAGAUGAGCCCGCGUAGGAUUAGCUAGUUGGUGAGGUAAAGCUCACAAGGCGACGAUCCUUAGCUGGUCUGAGAGGAUGAUCAGCCACACGUGGGACUGAGACCACGGCCCAGACUCC